AACGAACGCUGGCGGCGUGCCUAACACAUGCAAGUCGAGCGCGAAAGUCCCUUCGGGGGCAAGUAGAGCGGCAGACGGGUGAGUAAUACAUGGGUAAUCUACCCUCGAGUUUGGGAUAACCCCGCGAAAGUGGGGCUAAUACCGGGAUAAGACCACAUGGCAUAUGCCAAGAGGUCAAAGAUGGCAUGUACUCGUAUGUGCUAUCACUUGAGGAUGAGCCCGUGGCCUAUCAGCUUGUGGUGGGUAAUGGCCUACCAAGGCUAUGACGGGUAGCUGGUCUGAGAGGACGACCAGCCACACUGGGACUGAGACACGGCCCAGACACCUACGGGAGGCAG
rnacentral:rRNA from 1 species